CUCGGUUACUCCUGGCUUCCCGGGGCAGACAGGCGCGGCUGCAGGGUCUGCAGGCAGGAAAACUUGCAGGCUGGGAUCAGUCUGACCUCAGACAGGUCUUUCAUGGAGGAAUAGAAAGGGGAGAAGGGACAAAAUGGAUAAAACUAAAACCAGUUGGUUUUGCCAUUUCUGUGGGCUGAAAAGGGAAGAAGCUGAAAGUAACAGACUGGCUAAAGUUAAAUUGAUAAAGCAGACCACUACCUCUCCUGACCGUGAAUUUUCCCCACUACUUACCAUGAAGUGUGGAGCCUGCACCUGAGGGGAAUGAACUGUAUGUUUCACUGGGCAUCCGUGAAGCUGCUAAUGGAAGAACAUAAUGGAAGAGUCAAUCUGUAAAAGACUAGUUAUUUUCUCUUCUUAAUUUUAAUUGAAUCUAAUGGUUAUAAAAGAGGGAUAUUAAAAUAUAUUUAGCCCUAACCGGGUUGGCUUGGUGGAUAGAGCGUUGGCCUGCGGACUGAAGGAUCCCAGGU